AAGUCAGAGGUGAAAUCCCACAGCUCAACUGUAGAACUGCCUUUGAUACUGAUAGACUUGAGUUAUUGUGAAGUGAUUAGAAUGUGUGGUGUAGCGGUGAAAUGCAUAGAUAUCACACAGAAUACCGAUGGCGAAGGCAGACCACUAACAAUAUACUGACGCUCAUGGACGAAAGCGUGGGGAGCGAACAGGAUUAGAUACCCUGGUAGUCCACGCCGUAAACGAUGGAUACUAGCUGUUGGGCUAACAUUGGUUAGAUGAGUGGCUAAAAGAAAGUGAUAAGUAUCCCACCUGGGGAGUACGGUCGCAAGAAUAA
rnacentral:rRNA from 1 species